rnacentral:rRNA from 1 species
UAGGGAAUCUUCGGCAAUGGACGAAAGUCUGACCGAGCAACGCCGCGUGAGUGAAGAAGGUUUUCGGAUCGUAAAACUCUGUUGUUAGAGAAGAACAAGGACGUUAGUAACUGAACGUCCCCUGACGGUAUCUAACCAGAAAGCCACGGCUAACUACGUGCCAGCAGCCGCGGUAAUACGUAGGUGGCAAGCGUUGUCCGGAUUUAUUGGGCGUAAAGCGAGCGCAGGCGGUUUCUUAAGUUUGAUGUGAAAGCCCCUGGCUCAACCGGGGAGGGUCAUUGGAAACUGGGAGACUUGAGUGCAGAAGAGGAGAGUGGAAUUCCAUGUGUAGCGGUGAAAUGCGUAGAUAUAUGGAGGAACACCAGUGGCGAAGGCGGCUCUCUGGUCUGUAACUGACGCUGAGGCUCGAAAGCGUGGGGAGCAAACAGG